AUUGAACGCUGGCGGCAUGCUUUACACAUGCAAGUCGAACGGUAGCAGGCCUUCGGGUGCUGACGAGUGGCGAACGGGUGAGUAAUGCAUCGGAACGUGCCCAGAGGUGGGGGAUAACGCAGCGAAAGCUGUGCUAAUACCGCAUGUGAUCUGAGGAUGAAAGCGGGGGACCAAGCAGCAAUGUUUGGCCUCGCGCCUCUGGAGCGGCCGAUGUCAGAUUAGGUAGUUGGUGGGGUAAAGGCCUACCAAGCCGACGAUCUGUAGCUGGUCUGAGAGGACGACCAGCCACACUGGGACUGAGACACGGCCCAGACUCCUACGGGAGGCAGCAGUGGGGAAUUUUGGACAAAGGGCGCAAGCCUGAUCCAGCAAUGCCGCGUGCGGGAAGAAGGCCUUCGGGUUGUAAACCGCUUUUGUACGGAACGAAAAGGCUCUGGCUAAUACCUGGGGCUGAUGACGGUACCGUAAGAAUAAGCACCGGCUAACUACGUG
rnacentral:rRNA from 1 species